GCCUGCUGUUUAGUUGGUGCCGUUUACCGAGAUCCCACUGAAUGCCAACCAGGUGACAGAAAUAUUCUGCAAGCAGUAACGGGGUGGACGGCCACUCUCAGUCUGCAGCAAUACCCAAUGUUUUGGGGCCCUCGAGAGGAUCCGAUGUCAUGGUGGGGUUGGGAACUGGGGCAAGGAUUGUCGGUGUUUCGGGUCGAAUCUCUGCAGAAGGACUGCUGCACGUUGUGAGUGGCUUCAGACUCCAGCAUCCGUGGUCUCCUGUGUGUCGGCGUCCACUCUGGUUCGGGUAACUUUCAUGUCCGAACGGAGGAAUCGUCAGCUUGUACCGUUGAAGGGUCCCGCACCUCCACAUUGUCCCAGCAAAGCUGAGCAUCUCCAGUGCUUUCCAUUUCAUUGAAGCGGAUGAGGAAGAGGACAGUGACCGGAGGCGAUGGACGGGGGUGAACACUUGUUCCACGGUGACAGCGACAGACAGAGGCAGGCGGCGCGGGCCAGGCCGGUUACCAUGGAGCCGGGGGCUUGUCUGUGUUCGGCAGAAGGACAUGGCGGAUUUCGACAGUUACAAUGAUCGGCAGCAGUUUGGCUGCGGCGGGGUCCGGGGAUUCUGCAAGCCUUUGACAAACUUCAAUAGAUGUGUAGUGGAGAGUAUGCUGACUGGUUGCGUCACGGCCUGGUAUGGAAAGGCCUGCAGACCAGACCAUCACAGGGGAAGCCAAGGAGCACUGUCACACGAAAGCGGCAUCCAUCAUUAAGGACCCCCACCACCCGGGCCCUGUUCUUCUCGCUGCUGUCAUCAGAAAGGAGGUACAGGACCCUCAGCUCCCACACCACCAGGUUCAGGAGCAGUUAUUAUCCAUCCGGCUCUUCAACCAGCAUGGACAAUUCCACUCACCCCUACACUGAACUGAUUUCACAACCUAUGGACUCACUUUCAAGAACUCUGCAAAUCAUGUUCCCAAUAUUAUUUAUUAUUAUUGUAUUUGCACAGUUUGUUGUCUUGUGCACAUCGGUUGUUGUCUGCCUUUGUUUAGUGCAAUUUUCAUGGAUUCUAUUGUGUUUCUUUGUAUCUACUGUGAAUGCCCGCAAGAAAAUGUACGUACUUUGGUAAAUGAAUAGUUGAAGGUGCCUGAGUAUAAACUUGAAUAUAUACUGCUGAAUAUGAAUGGCAAUCAGCAGUGAUAAAUUAGAACUGACUUCUUAAGACCAUAGUUAUACUUAAAUUAAUAAAGAACAGAAUUAAGUUUUAUGGACAACUACUUCAGAAUUGAAUGCUUCUGUCCGUGAGGAAGCUGUUUCAUUGUGUUGUGCGUCAGUUGACAUUUCAGUUCCCUUCGAACUUGAGUAGGAUAUUUAUGUCACCAUAGUGAUCUGCAUUGAUCAAUUUUUUUUCUUUUAGUGGAUAGUGGUGGGAGGGGAGAGAUUGGCAAGUAGUAAAUAGAAAAAGAAACCUUUAAGAAUAUAAAAUAGUAUAGCACAGGAUGGGAUUUCAACAAUGUUAUGCCAACCUACUCCACAGUCAGUCUAACACUUCCCUCCUACACAGCCCAUAACUCUCCGUUAUGUUCCAUCUAUGUGCCUAUCUGCGUGACUCUUAAAUGACCUUGUUGAAUCAGCAUCUAUCACCACCCCAGCAGUGCAUUCUAAGCCCCUACCACUGUGUAAAAGAGAAAAAGAAAUCUUAUCUCUACUUACCUUAAAUGGGUGUCCUUUGGUAUUGGUCACUGAGAGUGGAAAUAUGUGCACUCUCCAUAUGCCUCUCAUAAUCUUAUACACCUCUAUCAAGUUGCCUCACAUCUUCCUUUGCUCCAAAGAGAAAAGCCCUAGUUUACUCAACCUUUCCUUAGAGGAUGUCUUCUAGGUGUACAAAAGAUGAAAUGAUUUGGUAAAUCAGUUUAUCAUUGUCAUAUGUAUCGAGAUACAGUAUACAAUACAAUACUUUUGUAUUGCAUGCCACCCAGGCAUCAUUUCAUCUUAUCAGUUCAUUCUGGUAGUACAAAGGAAAACAAUAACAGAAUGCAGAAUAAGAGUUGCAGUUACAGAGAGUGCAAUGCAGGUAGACAAUAAGAUGCAAAGCCAUAAUGAGGUAGAGUAUAAGAGUCUUUUGUGCAAUAGGACUAUUCAGUGAUCUUAUAACAAGGGGAUAGAGGUUUUUCUUUCAGCUUGAGGUGUAUGUAUACUUUCAGGCUGUAUUUUCUGCCUGAUUUGGGGGGUGGGGGGUGCAGGGUGUUGACUGUUCACCAAGGCAAAAGGUUUCCAUGAUGAGCUGAGCCGUGUCCAUAAUACUUUUCAGAUUAUUUCAGUCUCCGAUAGAACAGUUGCUGUACCUAACCAUGAUGCAUCCAGGUAGUGUGUCUAUAAGAUCUGGUGAGGGUCAAAGAAGGCAUACCAAAUAUGUUUUGGUUUCCUGAGAAAGUAGAGGCACUGCUGCACUGAUUACAUGGUUGGACCAUGACACGCUAUUAAUGAUGUCCAUUCCUAGACACUUGAAGUUCUCAGCUGUCUCAGUCUCAGCAGUGUGUGCAUUGUUCUCCCCCCACCACUUCCUGUAGUCUGACCAGCUGUUUCGUUUUGUUCUAUCCUUGAGACAAAGUCAUGACACCAUUCCACUGAACUAUCACUUUCCUGUACUCCAACUCAUCAUUGUUUGAGAUGUGGCCCAUGACAAUGAUGUCACCUGCAAACAUGCAUGGAGUUAGAGCAGGAUCUGGCUACACAGUCGUGAGUGAAUGGGGAGUAGAGUUGGGUUGAGGAUGCAGCCAUGUGGGCACCGGUUUUGAGAAUCAAGGUGGAAGAAUCAGAAUCAGGUCUAUUAUCACCGGCAUGUGUCGUGAAAUUUGUUAACUUAGCAGCAGCAGUUCAAUGCAAUACAUAAUAUACAAGCAGGGUAGAAGGAAAAAAAGUAAAUCAAUUAUGGUAUAUUUAUAUCGAAUAGAUUAAAAAAUCAUGCAAAAAUAGGAAUAAUAUAUAUUUUUUAAAAAAUGAAGUAGUGUUCAUAGGUUCAAUGUCCAUUUAGGAAUCGGAUUCCUGAAUCGCUGAGUGUGUGCCUUCAGGCUUCUGUACCUACUACGUGAUGGUAACAGUGAGAAAAGGACAUGUCCUGGGUGCUGAGGACACUGGACACUGCCUUUCUGAGACACCUAUUCUAUUGAUUGUGAUUCGUUAGUCAGGAAGUCAAGGAUCCAGUUGCAAAGGGAGGUGUUGAGUCCCUUGUUGAGUUGUUUGAAGUAGAGUUGGUUUGGAAUUAGUAUUGAAGACAGAGCUGUGGUCAAUAAAUAGUCUCUGACUAAUAGUUCAGUGUUUGUUUUGAAUUACAAUAAUGUUGAAGUCAAGAAUCAGACUGAAGUGAUGUGACUAAUAGAUCCUGUGAGAGACAAGUAUCUGUUCUCCCUUUGCUUUGUAUUCUGUGUUGUGUGUUUAUAACGAUAACUAGACAUAUGAGUGAGGACAUGGUAAAAGCAAAGUGAGUAAGUUAUGUAUUCAAAGAUUCAAGAUUCAAAGUACAUUUAUUAUCCAAGAAUGUAUAAAUUAUACAACCUUGAGAUUUGUUUGCUCACAGGUAACCAUAAAACAAGAAACGCAAAAGAAACCAAUUAAAGCAAAAAGUGUAAAAAUAAAAGACCAACACCCGAUAAGCAAGAAGAAAAAAACACUGUGCAAAGUAUUGAAGCGAACAACAACAAUCGAACCAAAAUUGAGUUCUUAGAUCCGAACCCAGGAGUAGGCUAAAAACCUCACCUAUCAGUUUAUCAUAUCAGCAGGUAUGGAGCAUAACAGCCAGGCAGUUUUCAUAGCCUCAGCGUUGCAGAGAGAGAGGAGAGACCAUCGUGGAGAACAAGCGAGAUCGGUGCCCAGAGCAAUCCAACCUCACACCCAGGUUAGUUGUACGGACACUGAAUCUCCUCUGCCCAGGAUCGGACUUCUCUUGGUGCCCAGAGCAAUCCAACCUCACAUCCAGGCCAAUUGUGUGGGCAUUGGGACUCCAUCUGCAAUGAUUCUACUGCACGCCUUCUCAGCUCAUCCCCUGAACUUGCCUCGCCAUCGCUUGCCUUUGCACUGUUUGUGGUGAUAAUUAAACACAGUUUACCUCAAAAAAGGUAUUUUUAGUGCUGUUUUUAGCCAGAUUUCUCAACUGUUUGACUACCAGAAAGCUGUCGCACGCAUUUGGUAACACCAUCUUAACCGGAAGCUUAUUUCGUGGUAGUUUGUAGCAGAGGCCAGUGGGGGGGGGGGGGGGGUGGGUCAUAUCUUUGACCGCUGGGUUACGCUCAAUAGUGCUUAAUUGUAUGUUUGCUAAUUGCUAAUACAGGAUCAAAUGAAAUUUGUGACUUUUGGAGCAAUAAUUGGAACUGUGGGCAUGUCACUCAAGUAUAAUAAGUCUAUGGUUGCAGGCAGGUGGCAAUUGUUUCGUUUGAAUUUGAAUCAGUUUUGCUGCUACAGAUCUUAAUUGGUACUUUGUGUAAUUAAUGGGGAAAAGGUCCCAAGAAAAAAUAUUUUAAAGAAAUUACUUAACUAUGGCAUAAUCCAUGACAGAACUUCAAUAUUUGUUAAUGAAUGCAAGAAGGAAAUUAUUUGAAUGGACAAUGAAUUGUUUUAAAUAAUAACAGUUAACAAGAAUCUCUGAGAAGGACUGUUAAUCUGCACUAAUUUGUAUGUUAAUGUUGGAGUAAUUUAUUUCCAUUCCCCUUUUACUUAUUGUCAGUUAAAUCAUUUAUUUGCAAAAUCAAAUGUCGUCUUUCUUCUGUUACGCAUAUUUAAAUCAUAUUGCAUGUAAUUAGGAGUUGGAAUUUGACUUCAGUUCGCAUAAUUUGAAGUGAGGAACUACUGUGUCAAAAUUAUUGACAUCUAUAGUGUUUGCAGGUAGCCAAUGAAUAAAAUAACAAGAGUCCAAUUUAAAUUAAAAAAUAGAACAAGCAAGGUACCCUAACAUCAUUUCUACAUGAUUGUGUGAUUUUGUUUUUAAAGAUAUGGACAGUGGUUAUAACUUGUGAUCCUUAAGGCUAUAUUGAUCCAGGUAUAUAUUAUAUGGUAGAAGGUACAGUAAAGCUCCAGUAAUCUGGCAUCCUUGGAUUUCAGUCACAUUGGACCAGCAGAUAUGCUGUACUGCUGGAUGUUAUACUUACUCAUAUCCAAUUACACUCUUCAUAUUUUUUACAUGUUACAUAGUUGUAUAAUAAAUUUCCAAUGAACCUGGAGUUUAAAAGGAGUGGGAAAUUCACAAGCAUAGCAGACUCUGGUCUCCAGCUGCAAACCUACCCACAGUCUUGUGCACCGAUGUUUUGGAUCCCAACCCUGACUGCAGCUGCAUGCUCAGUUUACAGUCCAGACCCUGAUAGGAACGGCAUAUUGGACCUCCAACUCUGAUUGCAUACUCUGGACUCCCCUUCACUCUGAGUGAGCCAGCUGCUGGACUGUGAGGAUUUUCAUACAAUUGAAUGCCAGAUUAUCAGGGUUUUACUUUCCACAUAUUACAUUCUCAAUUUAUAUAUUCCAUAUUUAACUAAUGUACUUCCUGUCAAAUGAGGUCACGGAAUAUAUUCUAAGAAUCAAAUCUUCUGUAAUUGUUGAAAAUAAAAAUAUAUAUGGCACUUUGUUUUA